rnacentral:rRNA from 1 species
UACGGAGGGGACUAGCGUUGUUCGGAAUUACUGGGCGUAAAGCGCACGUAGGCGGAUUUGUAAGUCAGGGGUGAAAUCCUGGAGCUCAACUCCAGAACUGCCUUUGAUACUGGCGAUCUCGAGUCCGGGAGAGGUGAGUGGAACUGCGAGUGUAGAGGUGAAAUUCGUAGAUAUUCGCAAGAACACCAGUGGCGAAGGCGGCUCACUGGCCCGGUACUGACGCUGAGGUGCGAAAGCGUGGGGAGCAAACAGG